UGGGGAAUAUUGGACAAUGGGGGCAACCCUGAUCCAGCAAUGCCGCGUGUGUGAAGAAGGCCUGCGGGUUGUAAAGCCCUUUAGGUGGGGAGGAAAGGUGAGUCUGUAAUAUAGACUCACUCUGACGUUACCCACAGAAUAAGCACCGGCUAACUCUGUGCCAGCAGCCGCGGUAAUACAGAGGGUGCAAGCGUUAAUCGGAAUUACUGGGCGUAAAGGGUGCGUAGGUGGUUGGCUAAGUGAGGUGUGAAAGUCCCGGGCUCAACCUGGGAAAGUCAUUUCAUACUGGUCGACUUGAGUAGGGUAGAGGGAGGUGGAAUUUCCGGCGUAGCGGUGAAAUGCGUAGAUUUCGGAAGGAACACCGGUGGCGAAGGCGGCCUCCUGGACCCAUACUGACACUGAGGCACGAAAGCGUGGGUAGCAAACAGG
rnacentral:rRNA from 1 species